CAGAAUGCUGGUAGAGGCCC
rnacentral:miRNA from 1 species